rnacentral:rRNA from 1 species
UACGGAAGGCAGCAGUGGGGAAUAUUGCACAAUGGGCGCAAGCCUGAUGCAGCCAUGCCGCGUGUAUGAAGAAGGCCUUCGGGUUGUAAAGUACUUUCAGUCGUGAGGAAGGUGUUAAGGUUAAUAACCUUAGCAAUUGACGUUAGCGACAGAAGAAGCACCGGCUAACUCCGUGCCAGCAGCCGCGGUAAUACGGAGGGUGCGAGCGUUAAUCGGAAUUACUGGGCGUAAAGGGCACGCAGGCGGUUUAAUUAAGUUGGAUGUGAAAUCCCCGGGCUUAACCUGGGAAUGGCAUUCAAGACUGGUUAGCUAGAGUCUUGUAGAGGGGGUAGAAUUCCAUGUGUAGCGGUGAAAUGCGUAGAGAUGUGGAGGAAUACCGGGUGGGCGAAGGGCGGCCCCUGGACAAAGACUGACGCUCAUGUGCGAAAGCGUGGGGAGCAAACAGGAUUAGAUACC